UACGGAGGGGGCUAGCGUUGUUCGGAAUUACUGGGCGUAAAGCGCACGUAGGCGGAUCAACCAGUCAGGGGUGAAAUCCCGGGGCUCAACCCCGGAACUGCCUUUGAUACUGUUGGUCUGGAGGUCGAGAGAGGCGAGUGGAAUUCCGAGUGUAGAGGUGAAAUUCGUAGAUAUUCGGAGGAACACCAGUGGCGAAGGCGGCUCGCUGGCUCGAUACUGACGCUGAGGUGCGAAAGCGUGGGGAGCAAACAGG
rnacentral:rRNA from 1 species